AUUGAACGCUGGCGGCAUGCUUUACACAUGCAAGUCGAACGGUAACAGGCCUUCGUUUGCUGACGAGUGGCUAACGGGUGUGUAAUUCAUCUUAACGUGCCCAGAGGUUGGGGAUAACGCAUCGAAAGCUGUGCUAAUACCCCAUGUGAUCUGAUGAUGAAAUCUGUUGACCAGGCAGCAAUGUUUGGCCUCUCGCCUUUUUAUCGGCCGAUGUCAGAUGAGGUAGUUGGUUGGGUAAAGUCCUACCAAGCCGACGAUCUGUAGCUGGUCUGAGAGGACGAGCAGCGAAACGGGGAGUGAGACACGGACCAGAGUCCUACGGGAGGCAGCAGUGGGGAAUAUUGGACAAUGGGCGCAAGCAUGAUACAGCAAUGCCGCGUACGGGAAGAAGGACUUAGGGUUGUAAACAGCUUUUGUAAGGAACGAAAAGGAUCUGGAUAAUACCUGGGGCUGAUGACGGUAACGUAAGAAUAAGCACCGGCUAACUACGUG
rnacentral:rRNA from 1 species